CCAACAUGGACAUCCUGGCAGGUCACUCUCCCUGGGCUCUGUCCUAGUGGCAUACAGGAUCAUAGCGUACUGCCUGAUGAUGUAUAGUCCCUUUCCACAACGUUGGAGAUGAAGCUGGGCUUUGAGUCUGCGCUUGCAUAUUCCUAUGACUUCUCAGAGUCCUGUGGGCAGUGACUGAGGAGACAAACCAUGGAGGAGACCAAA
ensembl:snoRNA LOC120093316 small nucleolar RNA SNORA73 family